rnacentral:rRNA from 1 species
AUACGUAGGGGGCAAGCGUUAUCCGGAUUUACUGGGUGUAAAGGGAGCGUAGGCGGUCAAGGCAAGUCUGAUGUGAAACCCGGGGCUCAACCCCGGGACUGCAUUGGAAACUGCUUAGCUAGAGUGUCGGAGAGGUAAGUGGAAUUCCUAGUGUAGCGGUGAAAUGCGUAGAGAUUAGGAAGAAUACCAGUGGCGAAGGCGGCUUUCUGGACUGUAACUGACGCUGAGGCAUGAAAGCGUGGGGAGC